AGUGAAUAGAUACCCUGGUAGUCCAUGCCGUAAACGAUGUCUACUAGCCGUUGGGGCCUUUGAGGCUUUAGUGGCGCAGCUAACGCGAUAAGUAGACCGCCUGGGGAGUACGGUCGCAAGACUAAAACUCAAAUGAAUUGACGGGGGCCCGCACAAGCGGUGGAGCAUGUGGUUUAAUUCGAUGCAACGCGAAGAACCUUACCUGGCCUUGACAUAGUAAGAACUUUCCAGAGAUGGAUUGGUGCCUUCGGGAACUUACAUACAGGUGCUGCAUGGCUGUCGUCAGCUCGUGUCGUGAGAUGUUGGGUUAAGUCCCGCAACGAGCGCAACCCUUUUCCUUAUUUGCCAGCGAGUAAUGUCGGGAACUUUAAGGAUACUGCCAGUAACAAACUGGAGGAAGGCGGGACGACGUCAAGUCGUCAUGGCCCUUACGGCCAGGGCUACACACGUGCUACAAUGGUCGGUACAAAGGGUUGCUACCUAGCGAUAGGAUGCUAAUCUCAAAAAGCCGAUCGUAGUCCGGAUUGGAGUCUGCAACUC
rnacentral:rRNA from 1 species